rnacentral:rRNA from 1 species
GAUGAACGCUGACAGAAUGCUUCACACAUGCAAGUCAACUGUGGCGGACGGGUGAGUAACGCGUAAAGAACUUGCCUCACAGAUAGGGACAACAUUUGGAAACGAAUGCUAAUACCUGAUACUGUGAGAGAGCUUUGCGUCCCAUUAGCUGGUUGGAGAGGUAACGGCUCACCAAGGCGAGGAUGGGUAGCCGGCCUGAGAGGGUGCUCGGCCACAAGGGGACUGAUACACGGCCCUUACUCCUACGGGAGGCAGGAGUGGGGAAUAUUGGACAAUGGACAAAAGUCUGAUCCAGCAAUUCUGGGUUCACGAUGAAGUUUUCGGGAUGUAAAGUGCUUUCAGUUGGGAAGCGGUACCACCAUAAGAAGUGACGGCUAAAUACGUGCCAGCAGCCGCGGUAAUAC